rnacentral:rRNA from 1 species
AGUGAACGCUGGCGGUAGGCCUAACACAUGCAAGUCGAACGGCAGCACAGUAAGAGCUUGCUCUUACGGGUGGCGAGUGGCGGACGGGUGAGGAAUACAUCGGAAUCUACUUUUUCGUGGGGGAUAACGUAGGGAAACUUACGCUAAUACCGCAUACGACCUACGGGUGAAAGCAGGGGAUCUUCGGACCUUGCGCGAUUGAAUGAGCCGAUGUCGGAUUAGCUAGUUGGCGGGGUAAAGGCCCACCAAGGCGACGAUCCGUAGCUGGUCUGAGAGGAUGAUAAGCCACAGUGGAAGUGAGACACGGUCCAGACUCCAUCGGGAGGCAGCAGUGGCGAAUAUUAGAGAAUGGGCUCAAGCUUGAUCCAGCCAUACCGCGGGAAUGAAGAAGGCCAUCUGGUUGUAAAGCCCUUUUGUUGGGAAAGAAAAACAGCAGGUUGAUACCCCGCUGUUCUGACGGUACCCAAAGAAUAAGCACCGGCUAACUUCGUG